rnacentral:lncRNA from 1 species
AGUAGAUAUUGAUGAUCCUCUGGAUUUCUGCUGGGUCUGUUGUAAUUUCACCCUUUUCAUUCCUAAUUGCAUGGAUUUGGGCCUUUUUUUCCCUUUUUCUGACAAGGUUGGCUAAGGGUUUGUCAAUUUUGUUGAUUCUUUUGAAGAACCAACUCUUGGCUUCAUUGAUUUUUUUCUAUCAUUCUCUUAGUCUCCAUUGCAUUGAUUUCUCCUCUGAUCUUUAUAAUUUCCUCCCUUGUAUGAGCUUUGGGGUUGUCCUGCUCUUCUUUUUCUAGAAGCUUGAGGUUCAGCAUCAGGUUGUUUAAUUGGGCUCAUUCUGUUUUCCUAAUAUGUGUAUUCAGUGCUAUGAAUUUCCCUCGUAAGACUGCUUUCAUUGUG